GGUGCAUCAACAAAUUUCAGUAUUUGAAAUUGUGGUUGGAGAUGUAGUUUGCUUAAAGAUUGGAGAUCAAGUUCCAGCAGAUGGCUAUUCUUAGAUGGGCAUUCGUUGAAAGUGGACAAAUCCAGCAUGACAGGGGAGAGUGACCAUGUAGAAGUAAAUUGCAGUCAUCCAUUUUUGGUUUCUGGUGCAAAGGUGCUGGCUUGAUGCCCAUGCUUGAAUGCUUGCCACUGGCCAUCACGCUUACACCUGCCUAUUCCAUGAAGAGAAUGAUGGCUGAUCAGACAAUGGUGCAGAAGCUCUCUCCCUGUGAAACCAUGGCCUCUGCCACCACCAUUUGUACUGACAAAACAGGCACUCUCAGGCUGAACGAAAUGAUCUCGUAGAGCGUGAGAGUGCCUGUUUUAUCAGUGCAAAUGAAGGUGGCAGAGCCCAUGGUCUCACAGCAGAGAGCUUCCGCACCAUUGCCUGAUCAGCCAUCAUUCUCUUCAUGGCAUAAGCAAGUGUGAGCGUGACGGCCAGUGGCAAACCUUCUAGAAUUGCAACCACAACUAUAGUAACUGCUUGCCAUUGAACUCCCUUGUGUUCUCUUCUUUUGUAUUUCCUUUGCUCCAGAAACCAAAAAUGGAUGACUGCAAUUUACUUCUACAUGGUCACUCUCCCCUGUCAUGCUGGAUUGGCCUACUUGAAAGGAGUGCCCAUCUAAGAAUAGCCCAUCUGCUGGAACUUGAUCUCAAAUCUUUAAGCAAUUUACAUCUCCAACCACAAUUUCAAAUACUGAAAUCUGUUGACGCCCCUCCCAAGCUCUCACAACAUCAACUGGGAUAUUGUUGCUGACUUCGGAUAAUUUGUCAAUCUGUCGGAUUUCGACAACAAUAAAUACGUCUGUUGUUUCCUGUC